rnacentral:lncRNA from 7 species
CCGGCUGCCGUGGCCCGUGCCCUGUGAAAGCAAGUGCUGUUUCUCAUGCAUUGGCCUCUCUGCGACUCUGCCUGCCACUGCCAUGCCCAUGCCUCUCCUGCAGCUACAUACACUCCUCGCGUUCCAAAAGGAAUGCAAUGCAAUUGUGUCAUGUCUAGUUAAUAAGUUUAACCAAUCAUCGAUACAAAA